CCCUCUGGGGUGCAGCCAUCUGGUGAUGGCUUCCCAAAGUCCUCUCUCCCAGCACACAAGAUCUGUAAAGACUGAGUGGAAGCAAAGGAAAGGACAAGAAUGCCUCGGAGCCCUGGACAGACAUUCACCAAGGUCUGUACCACAGACAUUCUCAGAUGGUGCUAAUAAAAAGAAGAAACCCAAACCAGAAUUGGUGGUCCACAUUGCAAGAGUUGCUAAAUAUCAUCACAAGGCAAUAAUGAUCCUACAGCAUGCUUGGUGGCUCAACAUUCUGAAAAGCAAAUGUCAAGAACAGAGCCUCAAGGAUGUUGCUAAUGAGAGCUCAUGGUUUGUGUUGGGUGGUCCUGUGUCUGCCUGGUGGUCUCGUUUCUGCGCCUGUUGUGAGCCCUAACAGUUUCAUGUAGCCUCCAGUCCUACACACUAUUCACUUGUCUCCCUUUAGUAAUGGACAAGUCAUUAAAGACAGACUACCCAGAAAUGACACUGCAGUAUUCCGCACAUCUCUCUCCUGGCGGUGACAGUUCCAAAUCAAGCUGGCUUGGUACUUAAGCAUUUUUCUAUGCGGUGGUUCAAAACACAGCCUUUGAUCUGAAAAAUUACAACUGGACUCUUCUUGCCUCUUCUAUCAUAGCCUGUAAUAAAUAUUAAACUUUUGAACUGCAGCUAGAACUUACGAUGGAUGACACAGAAUACAAUCGAACUCUCUUUCUUAGAUGCAAAGAACUCAUCUUCUGGUUAGAGAAACUUCACUACCUUUUAAUAAGCAUGGGCAGAUCAUUUUACAGACUUCCUUGCCACAUUCAUCCAGAAUUUAUUUCCCAAGAUCUCACAAAGAAUAGCAGGAGAAGGUUUGUGGCUUCAAAGGAUAAUGAUAUCAUUUCUGUUCAGAGGAUCAAAAUGUUGCAACCCCAAAAUUAAUCUAGGAACCUAUUCUAGCUUGAACUCUAAGGAGCAUAUUAGAUCUUCAGAAUAAGCAGAGAUAUGAUUCUUUUACUUAUAGGAUGAUCAGACCAGGAAUUUAAUCUAACAGACUUUGGGGGCCAUCAAUUGGGUUAGAUUUGGGUGAUUCCGUGCUAUUCCCAGUAGACUUUCCAUUCCAAAGUGAUCACCUUGUGCUCUCUGACUCUACCAUUCAUUAACCAUUUCACAUUUGGCUUGCACUGUGGUUAAAUUUUCAUAUCAUUUUGAAUAGCAAAAGCAAACUAUGUUCUGCUGAAUUUAAGAUCAAGAAAAAGAUUCAAAAAGGAGUGGCACUUGUGCUGGCCAAUCUGGGUGCUUCCAUCAGAUCCAUAAAGAAAUAGUGGUAUAAAAGAGGUGAUCAAAAUAUAUGGUGAAUGUUUAAAUUUUUUUUUUUAAAUUACUACAGUAAAAGACACAUUGCCAUGAAUCCCCCUCAAAUCUACCCCACCUUGCUUCAGAUAUACUUGUCCCAUUGUUCUUGCCACUUUCUGAAGCAGUUCUGGAAGUGCCCUUUUGUGAGUGAGUUUAUGUGGUAUGUUUUAAAAUAUGGUGAAUGCUGCUGCCAAGAGCCAUUCAACAGAAGGCAGGUUCAUGAAAAUAUUACUGUGUGUCCUCAUCCACCUUAUUAAAGCAGCUGUGACAGAUAACUAAAGAUAUGAAAGGACUUCUGGAACAUUUCAGAAAAUAGCAAGAAUGAUAGGAUAAGUGUGUGUGAAGCGAGGGAGAUAUCCUGAGAGGAAUUAAUGGCAAUUUAUCUUUCACUAUAAUGUUUUUUAAUUUAAACAGUCACUGUAAAUUUUGAUUCUACCACAUAGAACUUGCCAUGAUGCAUUGUACUCAUUUUGCCUCUUUGGCUGUAUCUUGUCUUUGUUAUAAGUUUAAUUCCCAAUGAUGAAUGUCAUUAUAUUGUAUACCUAAAAUGUACCAAUGAUUAGAAUGAAUAAUCGAUAAUGUAAAAUAGGAAGAAAAGGUCCAAAGGGGUAGGGGUAGUGGGAGGGGCAGGGGAAAGGAAAGAAGGGAAAGGAAAAAUGAUGAGAAAUGGAAAAAAUGGAAAUAAAGUCUUUGUCAAUAGGGAAGGGUGGAGGGUGUGAAGGGAGGGCUAGGAAUGGGGAAAAAAUAAGAACCAAGAUGCAUCAUGUAAAGGUACAAUUCCCAAUGAGAAAUGUAAUUGUGUUGUAUACCUACA
rnacentral:lncRNA from 1 species